CAACCAGAGAGGGGUUUGGUAAUGUAUAAUUGUUCAAUUUUAGCACAUAUAUACAAAGGGUGAAAGAAGGCAUAUACGUUUUAAAAGUUUUAAAUAAUUAUAACUAACAUAUUAAAACAGUUUUGGGGAGUCAUGUGUUAGACUUAUUUGAGGUAUAAUCUGGCUAAAUAGAGAAACACCCCCAUUUAGCCGGGUCCCGUCAAAGUCCCUUUCUAGUUCAGUAGGCUGAAGAGUAGUCGUAGUGUCCACGUGAAUCUAUCUGCUCUUGACUCCUGAAUUGUCUAAAAUACGUCUUCUCAACAACGGCAACUACUGAGCGGUGAAACUGGAUGAAGCGCAGUGUAACUGCACAGACUGAUCUGGCAUGCGGAGAGGAAAAAAAAACCACGGGCAGCGACGGAUAUUCAAAUAAAUUGUAACAUUGAAGAGAAGGGCUUUGUAUCACAAAACUGGUGAUGGAGUCGGAAAUCCCGUGUGACAGGUCUUCAAUAAGCUCAUUAGGUGAUACAAAUAUCUCGAAAAGGUGAUUGAAGAAGAAAUCAAGAAGAACUGCACAGUGACUGCCAUGGUUUAUAGAUACAUUUAUCAUACAUUCUCUGAGACCCAGUUGCCCGUUUCUGAAACCUGACCCAAAAAUGCUCUGCAUUGCAACUGAUGACCUGAGUGAAGAAGCCAUUCUGAAGAGGUACAAAGAAGCACACGUGGCCAAAGGCAAAAGUAUCUUUCUGGAGCAAAUGAAGAAGUUUAUUGAAUGGCUUUAAAAUGCUGAAGAAGGUACUUAUUUAGUUCAGUACUUUUGAGCGACUGGUCCAUUUUCUACUUUUGUUUUAGAGUCUGAAUCAUGUGAAGACUAAGACAAUAAUCAUAAAGACAUAGUCUAAAGCAGUCAGCAUCUUUCAGUUGCCUCUGGCAGCAAAAAUGAUUUCACUCCAGCAGCUGAUGAGACAUUGCAGGCUAGCCUUUUCCUUUGUAAUGCAGAGUAAAUGUUGUAGAUGUAGCCUUGUGGUAUCAAUUGUAUUCUGUGGGCCUCUACCUCUGGCUUAUUGUGUUCUACAUUAAAGGAAAAGCCAUUAAUCUAAGAGCCAUAUAGCAAAAGUGAGGUGAAAUGAAACAACUACAGACUCGUUUCAGAUAUUAUGAGAACACCCCUAUUGUAGUUUUUAUUUUUUGGUCCGUAUUUUUAUAGUUCAUUAUUGACUUGUUUAUGUUACUUGAUUUUUUUAAUAAAUGGGUUUUAUAUAUUAAA